AGAGUUUGAUCCUGGCACAGGACGAACGCUGGCGGCGCGCCUAACACAUGCAAGUCGAACGGAGCUUAGAGAGCUUGCUUUUUAAGCUUAGUGGCGAACGGGUGAGUAACGCGUGAGUAACCUGCCCUGGAGUGGGGGACAACAGUUGGAAACGACUGCUAAUACCGCAUAAGCCCACGGUGCCGCAUGGCACUGAGGGAAAAGGAUUUAUUCGCUUCAGGAUGGACUCGCGUCCAAUUAGCUAGUUGGUGAGGUAACGGCCCACCAAGGCGACGAUUGGUAGCCGGACUGAGAGGUUGAUCGGCCACAUUGGGACUGAGACACGGCCCAGACUCCUACGGGAGGCAGCAGUGGGGGAUAUUGCACAAUGGGGGAAACCCUGAUGCAGCGACGCCGCGUGGAGGAAGAAGGUUUUCGGAUUGUAAACUCCUGUCGUUAGGGACGAUAAUGACGGUACCUAACAAGAAAGCCACGGCUAACUACGUGCCAGCAGCCGCGGUAAUACGUAGGUGGCGAGCGUUAUCCGGAAUCAUUGGGCGUAAAGAGGGAGCAGGCGGCCGCAAGGGUCUGUGGUGAAAGACCGAAGCUAAACUUCGGUAAGCCAUGGAAACCGGGCGGCUAGAGUGCGGAAGAGGAUCGUGGAAUUCCAUGUGUAGCGGUGAAAUGCGUAGAUAUAUGGAGGAACACCAGUGGCGAAGGCGACGGUCUGGGCCGCAACUGACGCUCAUUCCCGAAAGCGUGGGGAGCAAAUAGGAUUAGAUACCCUAGUAGUCCACGCCGUAAACGAUGGUCACUAAGUGUCGGGGGUCAGACCCCGGUGCUGCAGUCAACGCAAUAAGUGACCCGCCUGAGUAGUACGGUCGCAAGAUUAAAACUCAAAGGAAUUGACGGGGACCCGCACAAGCAGCGGAGCAUGUGGUUUAAUUCGAAGCAACGCGAAGAACCUUACCUAGACUUGACAUGUCCUGAAUUACCAGUAAUGUGGGAAGUUCCUUCGGGAACAGGAACACAGGUGGUGCAUGGUUGUCGUCAGCUCGUGUCGUGAGAUGUUGGGUUAAGUCCCGCAACGAGCGCAACCCCUAUUGUUAGUUGCUACGAAAGAGCACUCUAGCGAGACUGCCGUUGACAAAACGGAGGAAGGUGGGGACGACGUCAAAUCAUCAUGCCCCUUAUGUCCUGGGCUACACACGUAAUACAAUGGCGUUCAACAAAGGGAAGCAAAACCGCGAGGUGGAGCAAAUCCCCAAAAGACGUCUCAGUUCGGAUUGCAGGCUGCAACUCGCCUGUAUGAAGUCGGAAUUGCUAGUAAUCGUGGAUCAGCAUGCCACGGUGA
rnacentral:rRNA from 1 species